UUAACUAUUAGAUAGUUACUCAGACAAUAAUUACAAACAGAGUUUGGUUAAUCCCUGGCAGGCACAGCGCAGCCGGAGCCGCAGGCACUGCCAAAGCAACAAUCGUAUUAAAAACAAAGGGUGGGAGGUAUCAGUCCGAAGACCGAGUAUCUCAUUAAUGAUCCUUCCGCAGGUUCACCUACGGAAA
rnacentral:misc_RNA from 1 species